UGGGGAAUUUUGGACAAUGGGCGAAAGCCUGAUCCAGCAAUGCCGCGUGUGUGAAGAAGGCCUUCGGGUUGUAAAGCACUUUUGUCCGGAGAGAAAUCCUCUGGGUUAAUACCUCGGGGGGAUGACGGUACCGGAAGAAUAAGCACCGGCUAACUACGUGCCAGCAGCCGCGGUAAUACGUAGGGUGCAAGCGUUAAUCGGAAUUACCGGGCGUAAAGCGUGCGCAGGCGGUUUUGUAAGACGGAUGUGAAAUCCCCGGGCUUAACCUGGGAACUGCAUUCGUGACUGCAAGGCUAGAGUAUGGCAGAGGGGGGUAGAAUUCCACGUGUAGCAGCGAAAUGCGUAGAGAUGUGGAGGAAUACCGAUGGCGAAGGCAGCCCCCUGGGCCAAUACUGACGCUCAUGCACGAAAGCGUGGGGAGCAAACA
rnacentral:rRNA from 1 species